rnacentral:rRNA from 1 species
AUUGAACGCUGGCGGCAGGCCUAACACAUGCAUGUCGAGCGGCAGCGGGAAAGUAGCUUGCUACUUUUGCCGGCGAGCGGCGGACGGGUGAGUAAUGCCUGGGAAAUUGCCCAGUCGAGGGGGAUAACAGUUGGAAACGACUGCUAAUACCGCAUACGUCCUACGGGGGAAAGCAGGGGACCUUCGGGCCUUGCGCGAUUGGAUAUGCCCAGGUGGGAUUAGCUAGUUGGUAAGGUAAUGGCUCACCAAGGCGACGAUCACUAGCUGGUCUGAGAGGAUGAUCAGCCACACUGGAACUGAGACACGGUCCAGACUCCUACGGGAGGCAGCAGUGGGGAAUAUUGCACAAUGGGGGAAACCCUGAUGCAGCCAUGCCGCGUGUGUGAAGAAGGCCUUCGGGUUGUAAAGCACUUUCAGCGAGGAGGAAAGGUUGAUGCCUAAUACGUAUCAACUGUGACGUUACUCGCAGAAGAAGCACCGGCUAACUCCGUGCCAGCCGCCGCCGUAACAC